rnacentral:rRNA from 1 species
CCUACGGGAGGCAGCAGUGAGGAAUAUUGGUCAAUGGCCGAGAGGCUGAACCAGCCAAGUAGCGUGAGGGAAGACGGCCCUAUGGGUUGUAAACCUCUUUUGUCGGGGAGUAAAGCGCACCACGUGUGGUUUAUUGUGUGUACCCUAUGACAAAGCAUCGGCUAAUUCCGUGCCAGCAGCCGCGGUAAUACGGCGGAUGCGAGCGUUAUCCGGAUUUAUUGGGUUUACAGGGUGCGCAGGCGGAGGCUCAAGUCAGCGGUAAAAUUGCGGGGCUCAACCCCGGCCUGCCGUUGAAACUGCAUCACUUGAGUGCGCGAGGAGUAUACGGAAUGCGUGGUGUAGCGGUGAAAUGCAGAGAUAUCACGAAGAACUCCGAUUGCGAAGGCAGCAUACCGGCGCGCAACUGACGCUCAGGCACGAAAGCGUGGGUAUCGAACAGGAUUAGAGACCCGGGUAGUC